GCUGGUGUCUGUAUCUGAUACGACACUGCUUGAUAACACUUUGUAACAUGUGUCUUGUUUUCUCAACUAGACCUUGACAGCACAUGUGUUUUUACCACUGAUACCUCACGACCAAAACACCUACACCGAGUCUACGUAGUCAUCAUCGUCUGUGGAGUUAUAGGUUUUGUGAUAGUCCUGUGAUUGGCGCGAGACCCCAAGCGUACCGGUAAUGAUCCCUUAAUGAUCACCUUCAGAAACUUUGUUAAGAGUUUUACUUCCUCUAGAUCAGAGGUCACUAACAGGCGGACCGGAGAGAAACAGAGGAGUGAGACGGAGAAAGGAAGAGAAACAGACGAACAAAGUGGGGGAGUGGGAUAUAA